rnacentral:rRNA from 1 species
UACGGAGGAUGCAAGCGUUAUCCGGAAUGAUUGGGCGUAAAGCGUCCGCAGGUGGCUGUGUAAGUCUGCUGUCAAAGAGCAAAGCUCAACUUUGUAAAGGCAGUGGAAACUACAUAGCUAGAGUAAGGUAGGGGUAGAGGGAAUUCCUGGUGUAGCGGUGAAAUGCGUAGAGAUCAGGAAGAACACCGGUGGCGAAAGCGCUCUGCUGGACCUUAACUGACACUGAGGGACGAAAGCUAGGGGAGCGAAUGGG